rnacentral:tRNA from 1 species
GUUUUAGAAAUUUCUAUUUUGAAAGUGGAAUAUAAGGAUUGUCCUUCGAAAGUG